CCUACGGGGCGCAGCAGUGAGGAAUAUUGGUCAAUGGGCGAGAGCCUGAACCAGCCAAGUCGCGUGAGGGAAGACGGUCCUAUGGAUUGUAAACCUCUUUUGCCGGGGAGCAAAAAGCGGUACGUGUACCGCAUCGAGAGUACCCGGAGAAAAAGCAUCGGCUAACUCCGUGCCAGCAGCCGCGGUAAUACGGAGGAUGCGAGCGUUAUCCGGAUUUAUUGGGUUUAAAGGGUGCGUAGGCGGAAUGCCAAGUCAGCGGUAAAAUCGCGGGGCUCAACCUCGCUCCGCCGUUGAAACUGGCGUUC
rnacentral:rRNA from 1 species